AACGCAACUGGCGCCGGUUUACCGGCAUGCCUGUUUCAGUGUACUAGGAGAGUAAACUAUCAUUAUAAAAUAUAGUGCGAUUGCGGUACAUUUAUUUUCUUCUUUCGUUAAAUAUGAAGGUGUGAGAGAUGAGUAAUCUCUCACACUGGCAAACGAAGGAGUCAUGCUUGUUAGUGAUCUCGUUUAACCAGUGCUACAGGUUUUUGCUUAGCUAUAAAUCACAGCUAAUCAAAUAAAUAUCUCCAAAUUUGGCAUCUGAAAUCAGACAAGGAUACCCGCUGAACUUAA
rnacentral:misc_RNA from 1 species